rnacentral:rRNA from 1 species
UGCCGGUGACAAACCGGAGGAGUGGGGAUGACGUCAAGUCCUCAUGGCCCUUAUGGGUAGGGCUUCACACGUCAUACAAUGGUCGGGUACAGAGGGUUGCCAACCCGCGAGGGGGAGCUAAAUCCCACAAAGCCGAUCGUAGUCCGGAUCGCAGUCUGCAACUCGACUGCGUGAAGUCGGAAUCGCUAGUAAUCGUGGAUCAGCAUGUCACGGUGAAUACGUUCCCGGGUCUU